GCUGGGUGCAGUGGUGCACACCUGUAAUCCCAGUGGCUUGGGAGGCUGAGGCAGGAGGGAUCACAAGUUCAAAACCAGACUCAGCAAAAAGUUAUGUGCUAAGCAAUUCAAUGAGACCCUGUCUCUA
rnacentral:sRNA from 1 species